AGUGGCGGACGGGUGAGUAACGCGUAAGAAUCUAACUUCAGGACGGGGACAACAGUUGGAAACGACUGCUAAUACCCGAUGUGCCGCAAGGUGAAACCUAAUUGGCCUGAAGAAGAGCUUGCGUCUGAUUAGCUAGUUGGUGGGGUAAGAGCCUACCAAGGCGACGAUCAGUAGCUGGUCUGAGAGGAUGAGCAGCCACACUGGGACUGAGACACGGCCCAGACUCCUACGGGAGGCAGCAGUGGGGAAUUUUCCGCAAUGGGCGAAAGCCUGACGGAGCAACGCCGCGUGAGGGAGGAAGGUCUUUGGAUUGUAAACCUCUUUUCUCAAGGAAGAAGUUCUGACGGUACUUGAGGAAUCAGCCUCGGCUAACUCCGUGCCAGCAGCCGCGGUAAUACGGGGGAGGCAAGCGUUAUCCGGAAUUAUUGGGCGUAAAGCGUCCGCAGGUGGUCGGCCAAGUCUGCUGUCAAAUCAGGUUGCUUAACGACCUAAAGGCGGUGGAAACUGGCAGACUAGAGAGCAGUAGGGGUAGCAGGAAUUCCCAGUGUAGCGGUGAAAUGCGUAGAGAUUGGGAAGAACAUCGGUGGCGAAAGCGUGCUACUGGGCUGUAUCUGACACUCAGGGACGAAAGCUAGGGGAGCGAAAGGGAUUAGAUACCCCUGUAGUCCUAGCCGUAAACGAUGGAUACUAGGCGUGGCUU
rnacentral:rRNA from 1 species